rnacentral:misc_RNA from 1 species
AAAUACUAUACGUUCCGGAAGUUAAGUAAGAGGCUGGGGGGAAAGCAAAGUACUCGGAAUCUGAGACAUAGGAUGUUUUUGGUCGUGUGUUUGUCAAAGAAAAGAGGAAUUUGACCGUUUGACUGUCACCAAACGUUUCAAUCAGUUUUGUGGUACUGAAGGUUCAUCCUGUUUACUGCGCAGACACGGAAAUCGUGAGAGACCCGAGGCAUCCCCAGCUUGGCUUCUUUGUUUUCCUUUUUUGGUCCGCGCGGUCCAGUCCGCAUAAAUUAGAGCGGUAUCGAAUGUCAGGGCUGGAGUCUUAUCAGUAUCUCUGAGCUCAAGGUACCCCGGUACAUAUCUAUGACUGUUGUAGCUCAUGUAGAGGAUCUGUUGACAGAAGGACCUUGGCUACAGUAAUUAUUACGGUUGAUUGAGGGGGAAACUUGACUGCUGAGUGCAGCUAGUGUGUGCCAUUGAGAGUCAGCGUGGCGGAUCCCGAGGAAAUAUGUAAACAUAGCACUCUUCAUAGGAUAUUGAAACAAUUGAACCUCAAGGAAAAUCCAGAUAUAUUGGAAAAGUGAACGAAAGACAAUGACCCAGCACAAGGUGUAUAUGAACCAGAUUCACUGCAGCUCGCUGCUGUGUGAGCUGGCCCAGAUGUGGAGGAGUCAGGCACUGUGUGAUGCCAUUAUCAAGGCAGGAGCCAUCACAGCCAAGGCUCAUCGGUUGGUACUGGUGGCGGCGUGUCCUAUGCUCAAAUCCAUGGAAAGUGCUUCUGUAGGCUCUCACCUAGAAAUCCGCUUGGCCUCCGAUAUCAAAGAGGAAUCUAUCAACACAUUUCUACAGUACUUGUACGAAGGCUGUAUGGUCCUGACUGAGGACAAUUACAAGGAUAUUGAGAAGAUUGGUCGAAUUCUACAAGUCGACAGCGUCAUUAAAUGCUGCUCAGACUUCUACAAGUGUCUCAAUUCUUCCUCCCAGUAUAAGUAUGACUAUUAUGAUCAUGUGGAGUUCAAACAUGUCAGACAGACGGAUAUGUUAAAGUUCAGUGAAAAGUCCAACAAGAGGGCUACGGACUCCAAAAUUACAGGACAUGGUGGAAAACGACAGAGGAUUCACAACUCUGACUCGCCGCUGUUUAGUGCUACUUCUAGAGUGGACGAUAGAUCUGGAUCCUCAAAUUUUAGCAAUCUCAAAGACCCCAUCCGUCCGUAUAAAAUGGGUCCAGCCAGUGUGUCCAGGCGGACUAAUGGUAGCGUGGAUGUUGUGGAGGACGGCGUACAGAUCCAGCAUGUGGAUAAGGAUUCAUCAUCCAGCUCUCCACAAGUGGUGGAUACCGCAUCCUCCAUGUCCGUCUCUAUAGCAAGUCAGAUACAGCCCUGAUGUUAAUGUUCAGGUUUUGAACAUGAUGAAUACACAUUCUACCUCUUCCCCUUCUGUGGGCCCCCGGAUCCCCAGUAAGCCCCCUCUGACAGGCCCCUUCCCCACAGAGUCCACUGAUGGUAGGUCUGAUUCACCUAUCUUCAUUGCUGGAGCUGCUUCGAGGGGGUUUGGAGCCACCGUGGUGCCCCCCUCCAAGUCCUUUGCUAUGGGUAGCCCCACCAUGGUUCCUGUAGGACCGGCUCAGUUCCCAACCUUUGUAAAGGAGAACUUAUCAAUUCCCACUAACUGCUGAAGAAGAUGUUGCAGGGAUAAAAACUAGAUCGGACUCUAGAUCCAGCCUUGCCACCGAGCAGUCCAGACCCGUCCAUUGUGAAGAAAGAGCCGGGAACCAGUACACCGUACGUAGAAGUCCAAGAGCAGGGCAUGGUGAUGGUCCGUCGUCUGGAUGGUCGGGACACUGACACGGAGCAGCAGGAGGAGGUGUCCAGUGACCUGGAGAUCGAAGGAACCCCCUCCGGACGACAGCUACACAGGCGAGGCAGGGAGCGAGGCGUCCUGGAUGGCCGGACAAGCUGAUGCUUUUUCAAAUUACAUGGAGCUUAUGAUGGGACACAGUCGAAAGGUGAGCAGUUCACGCAUUUAUCCUCGAGGUCAAGACGACGAGGGUUUUACUCAGUAUUUGUUGAGCGGAACCCUGGAAAUCCCAGAAUCUGAUUGGACAGUUGAUCCAGCUCAUCGCCUCGUGUCCACAGACGAGCGCAAAUUACGUCCCUGUUAUUACUGCUCUCUGACGAAAGUGAAAACAAAGUCAGGAUGGCGUAAAUACACCCGACACAAAUGUGAGCUGUGUAAUAUACCAUUCUGUAAGCGACAACAGGGAUGCUUUUAUUUGUAUCACAGGGCUUUAGAGAUCUUUAAUGAAGAAGAAUCAGUAGGUCCACCAUCUCAAAACAGAGAAAAUUCAGACCAAAAAUAGCAAUGUAUAAAUGUGUGGUACCUUUGACUUUAUAUACAAGCAAAGUAUUAGAAUAUUUUUAUAGCUUUUGUUAUUUUGGUGCGUUAUUGUUUAAUAAAACAUUUUUUUAUCAACAUGAAUGUUUUAUCUGUCUUGCAUUCUUUGAUAUUUGGGCAAUUUGAAAUUACAAAUUAAUCAGUUUAUUGUUCUUUUAAAACUGAUGACAAGUCUUCAAGUAUUGAUAACUUUGUGUUUUUGUAAAUUUUUUGUUUUUCAAUAUUUUAUUGUCAGCAUGGUAGGUCAACUAAUUAUCAUUUUUAAAAGGUUUUUGACACACUCAGGUGACCAUUUUAUUGAUAUAAGUACUUUAUUGUUGUAUUUUUAUAUUUGUUUGUAUUGAGACAUUAUGAUAUAAUGGUAGUAUUAUGCUGCAGAAUACUUGUGGCAGUUUACAUGUAUUAAAAGAAAUGUGUGAAG